UGGGGAAUAUUGCACAAUGGACGGAAGUUUGAUGCAGCGACGCCGCGUGGAGGGUGUAGGCCUUCGGGUUGUGAACUUCUUUUGCUCUGAACAAGGCAUGCCUUUGGGGUGUGUUGAGUGUAGGGGUUGAUUAGCGCCGGCUAACUACGUGCCAGCAGCCGCGGUAAUACGUAGGGCACGAGCGUUGUCCGGAAUUAUUGGGCGUAAAGGGCUUGUAGGUGGCUGGUUGCGUCUGUCGUGAAAGCUCAUGGCUUAACUGUGGGUUUGCGGUGGGUACGGGCUGGCUUGAGUGCAGUAGGGGAGGCUGGAAUUCCUGGUGUAGCGGUGGAAUGCGCAGAUAUCAGGAGGAAUACCGGUGGCGAAGGCGGGUCUCUGGGCUGUUACUGACGCUGAGGAGCGAAAGCGUGGGGAGCGAACAGG
rnacentral:rRNA from 1 species